rfam:Musca domestica strain aabys unplaced genomic scaffold Scaffold19368, whole genome shotgun sequence.
AAAAUGGAUUUUCUAAAAUCCAAUAUUUUGUUUAGAAAAACCUAAU